rnacentral:rRNA from 1 species
GCCGCGGUGAAUACGUUCCCGGGUCUUGUACACACCGCCCGUCACACCAUGGGAGUGGGUUUUACCAGAAGUGGCUAGUCUAACCGCAAGGAGGACGGUCACCACGGUAGGAUUCAUGACUGGGGUGAAGUCGUAACAAGGUAGCCGUAUCGGAAGGUGCGGCUGGAUCACCUCCUUUCUCGAGCUUAUUCCGCAUACAUUGAGCGUUCACGCUUAUCGGCUGUUGAUCAAGACAGACUCAGGG